rnacentral:rRNA from 1 species
UCUGGUUGAUCCUGCCAGUAGUCAUAUGCUUGUCUCAAAGACUAAGCCAUGCAUGUCUAAGUAUAAACGCUUCUAUACAUGUGAAACUGCGAAUGGCUCAUUAAAUCAGUUAUAGUUUAUUUGAUGGUUCCUACUACAUGGAUAACCGUGGUAAUUCUAGAGCUAAUACAUGCAGAAAGUCCCGACUUCUGGAAGGGAUGUAUUUAUUAGAUCCAAAACCGGCGCGGGUCUUGUACCCGGUUGCUUGGUGAUUCAUGAUAACUGCUCGAACCGCAUGGCCUUUGCGCUGGCGGUGCCUCAUUCAAAUUUCUGCCCUAUCAACUUUCGAUGGUACGGUAGUGGCCUACCAUGGUUGCAACGGGUGACGGAGAAUUAGGGUUCGAUUCCGGAGAGGGAGCCUGAGAAACGGCUACCACAUCCAAGGAAGGCAGCAGGCGCGCAAAUUACCCAAUCCCGACUCGGGGAGGUAGUGACAAUAAAUAACAAUGCCGGGCUUUCUUAGUCUGGCAAUUGGAAUGAGUACAAUCUAAACCCCUUAACGAGGAACAAUUGGAGGGCAAGUCUGGUGCCAGCAGCCGCGGUAAUUC